rnacentral:misc_RNA from 1 species
AAACCAAAACAACACCAAUCGUCGUUCACACAUGGCGUGGGACGCCUUUUAGGGGCAAACAGAGACCGGUGAUGUCUCGUACCCGCGAGGUAUUCAAAUGACCGUGAGAACGAACGUCGUGCCAUCCAUCCAACAACCCAAGAACAUCGAAGAAAUCGGGGGUUGGAUCAUGGCAUUUGCUUCGAAGUUCACCUCGUACCGCUAGGAGCAACUUAAGGCGAAAGGGGCGUCGUUAAUCCAACCAAUUCCCAAAAUUUGGGUAUA